rnacentral:rRNA from 1 species
UACGUAGGGCGCAAGCGUUGUCCGGAAUUAUUGGGCGUAAAGAGCUCGUAGGCGGUUUGUCGCGUCUGCUGUGAAAACCUAAGGCUCAACCUUGGGCUUGCAGUGGGUACGGGCAGACUAGAGUGCGGUAGGGGUGACUGGAAUUCCUGGUGUAGCGGUGAAAUGCGCAGAUAUCAGGAGGAACACCAAUUGCGAAGGCAGCUCGCUGGGACGUGACUGACGCUGAGGCGCGAAAGCGUGGGGAGCGAACAGG